UGCAGUCGAACGGUAACAGGAAGCAGCUUGCUGCUUCGCUGACGAGUGGCGGACGGGUGAGUAAUGUCUGGGAAACUGCCUGAUGGAGGGGGAUAACUACUGGAAACGGUAGCUAAUACCGCAUAACGUCGCAAGACCAAAGAGGGGGACCUUCGGGCCUCUUGCCAUCAGAUGUGCCCAGAUGGGAUUAGCUAGUAGGUGGGGUAACGGCUCACCUAGGCGACGAUCCCUAGCUGGUCUGAGAGGAUGACCAGCCACACUGGAACUGAGACACGGUCCAGACUCCUACGGGAGGCAGCAGUGGGGAAUAUUGCACAAUGGGCGCAAGCCUGAUGCAGCCAUGCCGCGUGUAUGAAGAAGGCCUUCGGGUUGUAAAGUACUUUCAGCGGGGAGGAAGGCGAUGUGGUUAAUAACCGCGUCGAUUGACGUUACCCGCAGAAGAAGCACCGGCUAACUCCGUGCCAGCAGCCGCGGUAAUACGGAGGGUGCAAGCGUUAAUCGGAAUUACUGGGCGUAAAGCGCACGCAGGCGGUCUGUCAAGUCGGAUGUGAAAUCCCCGGGCUCAACCUGGGAACUGCAUCCGAAACUGGCAGGCUUGAGUCUCGUAGAGGGGGGUAGAAUUCCAGGUGUAGCGGUGAAAUGCGUAGAGAUCUGGAGGAAUACCGGUGGCGAAGGCGGCCCCCUGGACGAAGACUGACGCUCAGGUGCGAAAGCGUGGGGAGCAAACAGGAUUAGAUACCCUGGUAGUCCACGCCGUAAACGAUGUCGACUUGGAGGUUGUGCCCUUGAGGCGUGGCUUCCGGAGCUAACGCGUUAAGUCGACCGCCUGGGGAGUACGGCCGCAAGGUUAAAACUCAAAUGAAUUGACGGGGGCCCGCACAAGCGGUGGAGCAUGUGGUUUAAUUCGAUGCAACGCGAAGAACCUUACCUGGUCUUGACAUCCACAGAACUUUCCAGAGAUGGAUUGGUGCCUUCGGGAACUGUGAGACAGGUGCUGCAUGGCUGUCGUCAGCUCGUGUUGUGAAAUGUUGGGUUAAGUCCCGCAACGAGCGCAACCCUUAUCCUUUGUUGCCAGCGGUUAGGCCGGGAACUCAAAGGAGACUGCCAGUGAUAACUGGAGGAAGGUGGGGAUGACGUCAGUCAUCAUGGCCCUUACAACNGGGCUACACCGUGCUACAUGG
rnacentral:rRNA from 1 species